GGAGCAAGAGAUGGAACUCAGCUCUGAAUAAAGCAGGGAUAAAUGGAGAUUUAUAGCCAAGGAGCAGGGUGUGGAGGUCAGGAGAUAUAAAAUCACUAAGAGAAGGCAUCAACAGUAGCAGGGUUCUUGCAAAACUGACCUAAUAGGAUUCUUCUUCAGGGUAUACCAGGACUUAGACAUUAAAAGUUGGGACUAAGGAACUUGACCAAGUAUCAAGUGUGAUCAGAUAUUAACAGUUGGGUGAUUUUUUUUUUUUUUUAAGAUUUUAUUUACUUAUUUGACAGAGAUCACAAGUAGGCAGAAAGUCAGGCAGAGAGAGGGAAAGUAAGCAGGCUCCUGUUGAGCAAAGAGCCCAAUGCGGGGCUGGAUCCCAGGACCCUGAGAUCAUAACCUGAGCCAAAGGCAGAGGCUUAAUCCACUGAGCCAACCAGGCGCCCCAACAAUUGGGGGAUUCUUGCUAAGGCUGGGCUGUGGAGGCCCAGCAAGGACAGAAAAGACACAAAAGGCCAAGGUCAAAGCCUUCUUAAGAACAGAGUGUAGCAGGGCACCUGGGUGGCUCAGCGGGUUGGGGCCUCUGCCUUCAGCUCUGGUUGUGAUCCCGGGGUGCUGGGAUCGAGCCCCCUGUCGGGCUCUCUGCUCAGCGGGGAGCCUGCUUCCACCCCUCUCUUUCUCUGCCUGCCUCUCUGCCUAAUUGUGGUCUCUGCCUGUCAAAUAAAUAACUAAAAAAAAAAAAAAAGAAUAGAGUGUAGGGGCACCUGGGUGGCUCAGUGGGUUAAAGCCUCUGCCUUCAGCUCAGGUCCUGAUCUCAGGGUCCUGGGAUCGAGCCCCGCAUCUGGCUCUCUGCUCAGUGGGGAGCCUGCUUCCCUUCCUCUCUCUCUGCCUGCCUCUCUGCCUACUUGUGAUCUCUGUCAAAUAAAUAAAUAAAAUCUUUAAAAAAUUUUAAAAAGGAACAGAGUUUAGAGGAAGCUUACUAAAAUUUGGUUUAAAAUUUGGUUAAGGAGAGAGUCUUCGUCACGAUCUACUGUUGCUAAUGACAAACUUCAUCCUAAGUAUCUAUUGUAUUUUAGGUUGUUAACUCAUGAUAGAACAUUUAUAUAAACUUAUCCUAAUAUACAAAAAAUCUUUGAGUUUAUUUUAGUAUUGUGGUAUUUGAAUACCUGUUAUGUUUCACUUGUUUAAGUGUUUGUCUAUUAGAAUUCCCUUACUCUGGGAUGUGGUGUAUUCCAGUUUUGGGUUUUAGUAAAGUCAUUCUAGGUUAUUAUUACAAAAAACAGAAAUGUCAAUAGCCUCCUAAGCCACAAUUUAAAAUAAUGUACUUUGGAUUAUCCUUUCGUUGGUCGCGUGGCUAAAUGUAACCAAAAAAUGCUUGGCUUUUGUAUAGCAUUCAGCACAAGUAUUUUUAUAGGAUGGUUAUUCCUAAGAUUUUUGCUACAACUGUUAUUAGUGGACUAUAUUAAGUAGAUAGUAUUUAGAAUUUUAAGGGAUAAAACACAACUUAGAAGACAUUUUUUUCUGUUUUUGCUAUUGUGAUUACUUUCUAUUUUAUUUUUUUUUUCUUUUAGUUCUUUUAUUCCCUUUAUUAAGGGCUGAGGAAAAAGAUAGUAUGGAAUAACUUUUUUGGGUUGAAUUGUUAUAGAAAACUACAUGUGCCAAGUUUGGGAUUUGAUAAUGUUUGAGAAGAUAAGGGAGAUCAUUUACUGUUUAUAUAUGGAUUUUCUGAAGUUUUUUAUUUUUGGCACAUGGUUUGAAAAAUCCUGUUUCUUUAGGGUGAACUAAAGAAGACAAAUGAGGCUUUUUUUUUUUUUUUUUUUUUGAAUAGCUACUUAGGUGAUAAUAAGAAAUUGCUAAUCAUGAAGACAGAAUGGAUGGGUUAGUAUAUUUUUAUAAGCUGUAAGGUAAUACAUAAGUAAAAUAUGUUUAUGGUCAGAGUGUCCAUAAAUGCCCUCCACUGUCGGAAGCCAUUGGCGUUUGUUGGCUUUUAAGGCAUGGCAAGUCUCUCUUGAUACCUCUCUUCUACUAGUCCAGGAAACUGGUAUCAAAACAGUGUGUUGCUCCACUUGCAUGUUAACAUUGGUGCUGUGGCUUCCUUUUUCCAGAUUCACCCCAAGAGACGCAAGACAACAAGGUUUACUAGGAGAAACCAUGAAGAGAGAACACAAGCAAGGGGAGUGGGAGAGGGAAAAGCAGGCUUCCCAGGAAGCCUGAUGUGGGGCUCCAUCCCAGGACCUGGGAUCAUGACCCUAGCCAAAGACAGUAUGAUUAUAUCUCAGGUCCUCACUAGCAUCUUUGUCAACUUGUAUUUUCAAAACUGACUCUUUCCUACUUGGAAUUUCCCCAUUGGUGAGCAAACUAAGGUAGGUUUUCAAAUGGCCUAAUAAUAAUAACAGUAAUAAUAAUAAUUAACACCUCUCCUAUCUGUUUAGCCAAAGUGAAGUAUCAAAAGUAAUAGAUCCAUUUAUUCUAUAGUUCAAUCUAUACCUUUAUAUUCUUUAUAGUUCUAGUCUCCAUAUCUACAUCCUUCCUUCUUGUUCAGGCAUUAAAAGAAGAAUAUGAUCCCUGAGGUCUUUCACAAAUGCACAUGGUCCUCUCUGUUUGGUGUUAUCUUUUAUUUGCCACUGGGGUCUGUUCCUCUUUGAGGCUACUAAAGUGUGCCUCACCUCAGGGUGCAUCACAGUUUUGUGUCAGGAUUUCUCAGGCUGGUGGCUGUUGCUCUUAGCCCUGGGGAAUUGUGUCCCUUAAUACUUUGCUGCUGUGAACUCAGGAGUCUCAUGCCACUCUUCCCUGAACACGGGAUAGUUUUAUAACUCCGUAAUGGAAUACCAUUUUGCAGUAAAAAGGAACAAGAUAUCCAUCUAUGCUACACCACUGAUGAAUCUUAAAACACUAUUUUAUGGAGGUGUUCAUGUAGUUUUCACUAUUAGGAGAGUUCUCUUCACAUGUAAAAAAGUUCUUAACCACAGUUUCUUAGUUCUGCUGGACACCCCACCGCCAGUCUUUCCAACUAACACCUUUGUUUACAUCAUGGUUUUAAGAUGCUGAGUAUUUGUGCAGAGGAAGUUAAAGAUGUUGUGUGACUAGUUUUGUUUAUUUUAU